ACGUUGAAAUACCGCUUCCCGUACGAUCACCGAUGUUAAGCAAAGUCGUCCCUGGUCAGUACCUAGAUGUGUGCCCGCUUAUGAAUAACUGGUGCUGUAAG